rnacentral:rRNA from 1 species
GAUGAACGCUGGCGGCGUGCCUAAUACAUGCAAGUCGAGCGAAUGGAUUAAGAGCUUGCUCUUAUGAAGUUAGCGGCGGACGGGUGAGUAACACGUGGGUAACCUGCCCAUAAGACUGGGAUAACUCCGGGAAACCAGGGCUAAUACCGGAUAACAUUUUGAACCGCAUGGUUCGAAAUUGAAAGGCGGCUUCGGCUGUCACUUAUGGAUGGACCCGCGUCGCAUUAGCUAGUUGGUGAGGUAACGGCUCACCAAGGCAACGAUGCGUAGCCGACCUGAGCGGGGGAUCGGCCACACUGGGACGGAGACACGGCCCAGACUCCUACGGGAGGCAGCAGUAGGGAAUCUUCCGCAAUGGACGAAAGUCUGAAGGAGCAACGCCGCGUGAGUGAUGAAGGCUUUCGGGUCGUAAAACUCUGUUGUUAGGGAAGAACAAGUGCUAGUUGAAUAAGCUGGCACCUUGACGGUACCUAACCAGAAAGCCACGGCUAACUACGUGCCAGCAGCCGCAGUAA